CCUACGGGAGGCAGCAGUGAGGAAUAUUGGUCAAUGGGCGCGAGCCUGAACCAGCCAAGUAGCGUGAAGGAUGACUGCCCUACGGGUUGUAAACUUCUUUUAUCAAGGAAUAAAGUGAGGCACGUGUGCCUUUUUGUAUGUACUUUAUGAAUAAGGCUCGGAUAACUCCGUGCCAGCAGCCGCGGUAAUACGGAGGAUCCGAGCGUUAACCGGAUUUUUUGGGUUUAAAGGGAGCGUAGAUGGGUUGUUAAGUCCGUUGUGAAAGUUUGCGGCGCAACCGUAAAAUUGCAAUUGAUACUGGCAGUCUUGAGUAGAGGUGAGGUAUGCGGAAUGCGUGGUGUAGCGGUGAAAUGCUUAGAUAUCACGCAGAACUCCGAUUGCGAAGGCAGCAUACCAAACUCCAACUGACACUGAUGCACGAAAGUGUGGGUAUCGAACAGGAUUAGAUACCCGUGUAGUC
rnacentral:rRNA from 1 species